CCUACGGGAGGCAGCAGUGAGGAAUAUUGGUCAAUGGGCGCGAGCCUGAACCAGCCAAGUCGCGUGAGGGAAGACGGUCCUAUGGAUUGUAAACCUCUUUUGUCGGGGAGCAAAAGACGCCACGCGUGGCGUUCCGAGAGUACCCGAAGAAAAAGCAUCGGCUAACUCCGUGCCAGCAGCCGCGGUAAUACGGAGGAUGCGAGCGUUAUCCGGAUUUAUUGGGUUUAAAGGGUGCGCAGGCGGCAGAUCAAGUCAGCGGUAAAAUUGAGAGGCUCAACCUCUUCGAGCCGUUGAAACUGGUUGCCUUGAGUGAGUGUGAGGUAGGCGGAAGGCGUGGUGUAGCGGUGAAAUGCUUAGAUAUCACGAAGAACUCCGAUUGCGAAGGCAGCAGACCGGCGCUCAACUGACGCUCAGGCACGAAAGUGUGGGUAUCGAACAGGAUUAGAUACCCUUGUAGUC
rnacentral:rRNA from 1 species